rnacentral:lncRNA from 1 species
CCGUUUUCGGCGAGAUUAGAUUUCCCAAAUUCGGCUUGGAAGAUGGAGUUUCGGGCCUCCGAAGUUUGGAACGUUAGGACGCCUAACUCUAUUUUGCAGGAUGUAUGCAUGUAUCUUGUGAUCAGUAUGGCCCCCUUGUGUAUGUGAUGCAUGUGUGUAACUAAUUCGUGACCUGCGUGUCGCGCGUACGGCAACACGGCAGGAGCCAUAUGUGUUGUCAGUUUAUUGUAAUUAAUGGUCUGCGUACCAAUCUGUGAUGAUCCAAGCAACUAUGU